rnacentral:rRNA from 1 species
UACGGAGGGUGCGAGCGUUGUCCGGAAUCAUUGGGCGUAAAGGGCGCGUAGGUGGCGGCCCAAGUCCAUGGUGAAAGCUCGAUGCUCAACAUCGAGUCGGCCACGGAUACUGGGUUGCUCGAGCACUGUAGGGGCAGAUGGAAUUCCGGGUGUAGCGGUGGAAUGCGUAGAGAUCCGGAAGAACACCGGUGGCGAAGGCGGUCUGCUGGGCAGUUGCUGACACUGAGGCGCGACAGCGUGGGGAGCAAACAGG